rnacentral:rRNA from 1 species
CUGCGAAUGGCUCAUUAAAUCAGUUAUCGUUUAUUUGAUAGUACCUUUACCUGGAUAACCGUGGUAAUUCUAGAGCUAAUACAUGCUAAAAACCUCGACUUCGGAAGGGGUGUAUUUAUUAGAUAAAAAACCAAUGCCCUUCGGGGCUCUUUGGUGAUUCAUAAUAACUUAACGAAUCGCAUGGCCUUGCGCCGGCGAUGGUUCAUUCAAAUUUCUGCCCUAUCAACUUUCGAUGGUAAGAUAGUGGCUUACCAUGGUCUUAACGGGUAACGGGGAAUUAGGGUUCUAUUCCGGAGAGGGAGCCUGAGAAACGGCUACCACAUCCAAGGAAGGCAGCAGGCGCGCAAAUUACCCAAUGCUGACACAGCGAGGUAGUGACAAUAAAUACUGAUACGGGGCUCUUUCGGGUCUCGUAAUUGGAAUGAGUACAAUCUAAAUCCCUUAACGAGGAACAAUUGGAGGGCAAGUCUGGUGCCAGCAGCCGCGGUAAUUCCAGCUCCAAUAGCGUAUAUUAAAGUUGUUGCCGUUAAAAAGCUCGUAGUUGAACCUUGGACCUGGCUGAUCUGUCCUCCUAAUCGAGCGCACGGAUUCGGUCGGGUCUUUCCUUCUGGGGAGCCCCAUGCCCUUUACUGGGUGUGGUGGGGAACCAGGACUUUUACCUUGAAAAAAUUAGAGUGUUCAAAGCAGGCCUUUGCUCGAAUACAUUAGCAUGGAAUAAUAGAAUAGGACAUCGGUUCUAUUUUGUUGGUUUCUAGGACCGCUGUAAUGAUUAAUAGGGAUAGUCGGGGGCGUCAGUAUUCAAUUGUCAGAGGUGAAAUUCUUGGAUUUAUUGAAGACUAACUACUGCGAAAGCAUUCGCCAAGGAUGUUUUCAUUAAUCAGUGAACGAAAGUUAGGGGAUCGAAGACGAUCAGAUACCGUCGUAGUCUUAACCAUAAACUAUGCCGACUAGGGAUCGGACGGUGGUUUUUUUAUGCCCCGUUCGGCACCUUACGAGAAAUCAAAGUUUUUGGGCUCGGGGGGGAGUAUGGUCGCAAGGCUG